GUUUUCUUCCUAAUUCUUCUUCGUCCCUCUCCCUUGUUUUUUUUUUGUCCCUCUCCCUCUUCAUCUCCAUCUUCUUCUUUCGUUCUCCAUUCAUCUCCCUAUUUUCUUCCUUUUUGUUCUCUGUUCAUCUCCCUCUUUUGAUGAAAGAAACUAACGUCAAAAUUAAACCCAGAAGUUGUUCAUCUCCCAACUUCAUAAUCGACUGCAAAUCUUCACAAUCAAACCACAAAGCAAGAAAGAGAUUGAAAAUUUAGGAGUUAGGAGCAGGUUGCAUGUGCGCUUGGCCCGAAGGUAGAAGAUGGGGGUUGGAUCUGAUCUGGUCUUGAAGAUGGUUUUAGGAAGCGAGGAUGAAGCAUAUGGAUGUGCGAAGCGGAAGGGGGAAGCUAAGGUCUUAGCAGUCCGCCCGAUUUCGAGGGGUCUCGCUAAGCCCUUUUAGUGAAGUGUUUAGUCCAAUUUAGUCGGGGCGAGUCCCAUUAAAGUUAGGCCCUUCCGUAAACAAACACAGGAUUAGAUUAAAAGGUAAUCAUGUCCAGUCUAGUGAGAGCUAAGGAGGGCAAUCAAACACACCCUAAGUCAAUAAAGGCUACUGUGAUUUUAUUUUUUGU